rnacentral:rRNA from 1 species
UACGUAGGGACCAAGCGUUGUUCGGAUUUACUGGGCGUAAAGGGCGCGUAGGCGGCUUGACAAGUCACUUGUGAAAUCUCCGGGCUUAACUCGGAACGGUCAACUGAUACUGUGCGACUAGAGUGCAGAAGGGGCAACUGGAAUUCUCGGUGUAGCGGUGAAAUGCGUAGAUAUCGAGAGGAACACCUGCGGCGAAGGCGGGUUGCUGGGCUGACACUGACGCUGAUGCGCGAAAGCCAGGGGAGCGAACGGG